AUUGAACGCUGGCGGCAGGCCUAACACAUGCAAGUCGAACGAGUGGCGGACGGGUGAGUAAUGUCUGGGAAACUGCCUGAUGGAGGGGGAUAACUACUGGAAACGGUAGCUAAUACCGCAUACUAUUGGAGCUGCCGAGAUGGGAUUAGCUUGUUGGUGGGGUAACGGCUCACCAAGGCGACGAUCCCUAGCUGGUUUGAGAGGACGACCAGCCACACUGGAACUGAGACACGGUCCAGACUCCUACGGGAGGCAGCAGUGGGGAAUUUUGCACAAUGGGGGAAAGCCUGAUGCAGCCAUGCCGCGUGUAUGAAGAAGGCCUUCGGGUUGUAAAGUACUUUCAGCGGGGAGGCGUUACCCGCAGAAGAAGCACCGGCUAACUCCGUGCCAGCAGCCGCGGUAAUAC
rnacentral:rRNA from 1 species